CUGCGGGGAUGAUCACCCUGAACUCUCUCUUGCUGAUGGGUCAGUGGAGAAACUUCUGGAACAACUUCUGAGUGGC
ensembl:snoRNA SNORD26 Small nucleolar RNA SNORD26